GAUGAACGCUGGCGGCGUGCCUAAUACAUGCAAGUCGAGCGAAGCGGGGACGGGUGAGUAAAACGUGGAUAACCUCCUAUAAGACUGGGGUAACCUAGGGAAACCGGAGCUAAAACGGAUACUUAUAGAUGGUUCCGCGCUGCAUUAGCUAGUUGGUAAGGUAACGGCUUACCAAGGCAACGAUGCAUAGCCGACCUUAGAGGGUGAUCGGCCAAACUGGAAAUGAGACACGGUCCAGACCUCUACGGGAGGCAGGAGUAGGGAAUUAUUCGCAAAUGGCGAAAGCCUGACGGAGCAACGCCGCGGGAGUGAUGACGGCCUUCGGGUUGUAAAGCUCUGUUAAUCGGGACGCGGUACCGGAAUAGAAAGCCACGGCUAACUACGUGCCAGCAGCCGCGGUAAUAC
rnacentral:rRNA from 1 species